rnacentral:misc_RNA from 1 species
GAUGAAGAACGUAGCGAAAUGCGAUAAGUAAUGUGAAUUGCAGAAUUCAGUGAAUCAUCGAAUCUUUGAACGCACAUUGCGCCCGCCAGUAUUCUGGCGGGCAUGCCUGUCUGAGCGUCAUUUCAACCCUCAUGCCCCUAGGGCGUGGUGUUGGGGAUCGGCCAAAGCCCGCGAGGGACGGCCGGCCCCUAAAUCUAGUGGCGGACCCGUCGUGGCCUCCUCUGCGAAGUAGUGAUAUUCCGCAUCGGAGAGCGAUGAGCCCCUGCCGUUAAACCCCCAACUUUCCAAGGUUGACCUCAGAUCAGGUAGGAAUACCCGCUGAACUUAAGCAUAUCAAUAAGCGGAA